rnacentral:lncRNA from 1 species
UAGGUGACCUCACAGUGACUCAAGCUACCACUUACUGUUGAUUGUGACGAAAUGCCAGCUGAGGCACAUGCCUUGGGAGCUAAGUGGUUGCUGCACUUGACCACUGUGAAGACUGGUGUGGGAAGGGUCGUUUCGGAUGCACUUGAGCAGGGGUCCCCAACCCCUGAGCCAUGGAGCCGCAAGGAGCCACACAGCAGGAGCCUCUCCAGGCCCAGCUCCUGCAUCUUGGUGGCCCCUCCAGGCCCAGCCUCUGCCUCCCGUCGGCCUCUACAGUCCCAACAUCUGUCUCACAGCAGAUUCUUCAGGCCCAGCAUCUGCCUCACU